UGAUGGAAAUUCUUAAUGGACUUCGUUUACUCCAAAUUUGGACCAUCAGAUGACCUUUAACCCAAAGUUUUGGCCCAAAUCCUUCAACCCAAUUUCAAAAAUCUGGACCAUUAUGCCCUUUUACCCCUCUUUCUCUUCUCCAAUCUAUCUAGAUCCAACGCUAUAACAGCAACGACAAACCCAAAAAAGCGAGCUUUAAUUCCCUAAUUUGCAGGUUCAAUUUACUCUUCUCUCCCUCGAAUUCGUACGUCUGGGCGUGCCUAACACGAACUCGAGGAUAGCUGGAGGUUUCUAAGACGUUCCUAACAAUUUUAUCCUUUCAAUUUUCCUUUCUUUUUUGCAUAUUUUCAUUCAAAAAUGGUACGAAUUCAUACCUUAACCUUAUCUACUAAGGAAUUUUGGACGCUUGCAUUAGUCCCAUAUCAUUUUCUCCCUCUAUUUCGACCUAAAAGUUGUCCUAUAAAUACCCUUGUUGUUCACUGUUCAGAGAGGGUCUUUUGAAACGACAGAGUACCCCCAAAGGCUUUGGGAAAUCUUGGUUCAAUAAGUUUAAUGUUUUUGGCUGUUGAGUUGAAAGAAGUGGUGGAGUCGUCUUCUCCACUCGUCAUUUUAGUUCGCUGCCCAGAAGCAGCAGCAUAGCAACAAGGAUUCAGCACUAGUCCCAAAGGGUUUGAAGGUGGAAUUUGGACCUAAUUCCAAGAAAUUUAAGGGCUCAAAUCUAAAAAAUGCAGAUGCAACAAAGAAGAGAAGGAGGCAACACACCUGAAUUUGGACUAGAAGUCCAAAUUUUUCUUUCUAUUACUUGUCUAUCUUGCCUGUUAUUAUGACAUCUAACCUUCUUAUUAACUUGGAUGAAUCCUUUGGAGGUUUUUUAAUGACAUCGCUAUUUUGUUACUUA